GUUUAAGAACUAUUAUAAAAGCCCUUAAGAUGUUUGGGCUUUGAACUCAUAUCUACCUUUUUAACAAAUAUUUUAACAUAUUGGAGUAAUGAGAUAAGGGCAAGCUAGUGGAAUGAUUGAUCCUUGGUCCCAAUCACGAGCCCACUGAGUAAAGAAGGCAAAUUAGGGGCGUGUUGGUCAGUUCAAUUGGACCAUACGUUAUGGCCCUUCCAAUCCUUUAGCAGACACUUUCAUCAAACUAAUUUGGUGUUCAAAAUAUGUUCAGGAAGGCAUUUACGCCAGCAAGGAUUUAACGGGCAAACAGAUGAUUGAUAUCCAGGAUCGACUUUGACACUUCAAACUAACCAAUUCUUAUAUGCUCUUUCACUUAACUAUCAGACAAACUUAAAUGAACAAUUCGGCUAAUAUUCUAUUUAUCAAAGACUGAGAAUCGUCAAAACUGUCCAAUGUCCUAUCAUGUUAUUUUUGAAUGAGUUCAUGAAACUGCUGAAGGUCUUCAACUAAAAUUAACUCAACCUUUUAUACUAACUUAUCAUGAAGUUACUUCAUUUUUCAAAGCUCGUAUUCAUUUGAAACAGAAUAACUAACAGUACAGCUACUUUCAAUAGUCCUGUAUUCAACCUGAUUUUCAACCUUAGUUAUGCUGUCCAAAUAUUACAGUAAUAAUGCUAGACAGUCCCAAAGCAAUCCUGUCUCAAUUAUAGGCACUUAUCGAUUAAAAACACAAACUCUUAUCAAAAUCAUUAGCAACUGUAUAUACAAUUCACUAUGAAAUUUAAGCAUUAUUCUUCAGAACGAUUCAUACAUAUUUAUUCGCAUGUCCAGAUCACUUGAGCUAGGGGAAAUACCUGGAGUUAAAGCAAUACAAAAGAAGGAGAAUAAUCAGUGGCAAAUAGCAACGUAGCAGAUGAAAACCAGCGGCAGCAAGCUCUGGGAAAUAAGACCAGCAACCCAGUAAAGCUCCAAAAUGAAAAAUAGUUGAUUAACCAACACUCCUAACUCAGAAAACAGUUCAAUAACCUAGUGAUGAACAAACAAAGCAGUAAUUCUAUCACUAUAUCAAAAACAAAUCUAUCUAACUCAAGCUCACUCAGAACCAGCCGACAAAGCCACUCAAACUUCAAAUUGUCAAAGUUAAACAGGAAGAUGUAAAUCAAUGGUUUAAAAGUGCAAUUCACUUAGAAGCUGAAUGGAAUGGUAAUUUUUUGGUUUUUCCUGUUGUUUUUUAUGUUUUUGGUUUUUUUUUUAAAAAGAAGAAGCUAGAAUUAGAAUUGGGAGUCUGAAAUCCAAUCUGGAGCUUUGGCUUGUAGUGAAAUUCAAAUCUUAAACUUCAAAUCUACGGACAAGGUUUUGGGGGGAAUUUUUAAGGGUUUCCAAACUGUUGAGUAAGGCAUUGGGGCUGCUUUAUAUAGGAAAAGAUGGGACAGCCCUCAAAUUUUCAGUUUACACUAUUAGUCCCUAUUUUAUUUCAUUUUGGUCCUCCUAUUUCUAAUUUUUUACUCAAGUACCUCUUAAUUGCUGAAAUCUAUACUAAAAUCUAUUCUAGAAGGUCCUAUACCCAUUACAAUUCCUAAAAUACCCAUUCCCUACUUUGAAAAUUACUAUUCUUAAAGAAACUACCCUUUUUUCAUGCCCAAACUACCCUUACCACCUCCUAAAAUUACUAUCUCAGUUAACCUCAGCCCCAAGAAUACUAUCAACUAUAACCAUACAGCUCAAAUUACCAAGAUUAAACAAACUGACUAAAAUCAAUCAAACCAACUCCUUACAUGAUCAAAUUAAACUGAUAUGAACCUAAAUCCCAUAGCCAUGACUAAUUAACACGGAAUGAAGCAUAAUAGAAUAUUGUAAUUUUAAGUUAUCACCAGUCAAAAUAGCAAAACAACAGAAAUGCUUUUAACAAGACAUGAUACCCUUAAUUCCAAAUCGACCACAUUUGAAUUGAAAAACCAAUACCCAAUAUGAAUCAAAAGAGACUGAAGAACAAACAACGAACUAAUCCAAUCAAACCACGGGUUAAAAUGAACUGACAAAAAUGAAGAAACUAUGUCCUAAAUUGACUAAUUGACAAACAAAUCAUUUGCUAUGAGGAAAAUGAUGAAGGAGGACCAAAAGCCUUACCUAAAAUCCCGGAACGGAGACUGGAAAACAUCGACUCGAGCCUCGAAAUAAUGUAAUCGCUUGUUCUUAUCGAAGAACAAACGAACACAUUGUUUCGCGACUCGAUUCCAACACCAAACUCAGGGACUCGCGGAAAUUAAGCAACCUGAACUUCCUGAGGUUCUGCCUUCCUUCAUUUAAAAUUCUAGAAAUUCUAUUGGUGUUUUACGGAAACUAAUGAGAGAUUAGGGAUGAGGGAGGCCCGGGGAACACUUGGUGUGAAUUUGGGCGAGAUUAGAUGAGUUAGGGUUUUGGCCGGAUCAUAGAUCUGAAAUUUGAGACGGCCGGCUAAGAUUUGAAGAAAAGGGAUUUGAGGGUUGGAAAGAGGAGAAGAAGGACGGUAUGUGUUGAAAUUUUGGGGAUGGCGGAGGACUGGCGGAGGACUGGCGGAGCAACGGUGGAGACGAGGGUGGUGUUACGUUGGAAUUACAGGGGGAAAAGGUACGAUGAGAUAGAAAAUGUUUUUGGGGUUAAUUGUUAUUUUCAGACAAUUAUAUAAUUAUAUCAUGAAUAUACAAGAAC
rnacentral:lncRNA from 1 species